rnacentral:rRNA from 1 species
UGAUGCAGCCAUGCCGCGUGUGUGAAGAAGGCCUUCGGGUUGUAAAGCACUUUCAGUAGGGAGGAAGGUAGUGUAGUUAACACCUGCACUAUUUGACGUUACCUACAGAAGAAGCACCGGCUAACUCCGUGCCAGCAGCCGCGGUAAUACGGAGGGUGCGAGCGUUAAUCGGAAUUACUGGGCGUAAAGCGCAUGCAGGCGGCCUGUUAAGUCAGAUGUGAAAGCCCGGGGCUUAACCUCGGAAUUGCAUUUGAAACUGGCAGGCUAGAGUCUUGUAGAGGGGGUAGAAUUUCAGGUGUAGCGGUGAAAAUGCGUAGAGAUCUGAAGGAAUACCAGUGGCGAAGGCGGCCCCCUGGACAAAGACUGACGCUCAGAUGCGAAAGCGUGGGGAGCAAACAGGAUUAGAUACCCUUGGG